AAUCUGGGGUCCCCGACCUCCGAGUUGUAAUUUGGAGAGGCAUCUUCGGGGGGGAGCGCCGGCCCAUGUUCCUUGGAACAGGACGUCAGAGAGGGUGAGAAUCCCGUGCCAGGCCGGCUCCCUCCUCCCGGGUGAAGYGCCUUCGACGAGUCGAGUUGUUUGGGAAUGCAGCUCCAAGUGGGUGGUAAGUUUCAUCUAAAGCUAAAUACCGGCGGGAGACCGAUAGCGCACAAGUAGAGUGAUCGAAAGAUGAAAAGCACUUUGAAAAUAGAGUCAAAAAGUACGUGAAAUUGUUGAAAGGGAAGCGCUUGAGACCAGACUCAGGCCCGGGCAAACACCGCGCCCCCCGGGGCCGUGCAAUUGCCUGGGGCUGGGCCAGCAUCAGUCGGCGUGGCGGGACAAAGUCGYGGGGAAUGUGGCUCCCCUCGGGGAGUGUUACCAGCCCCGCGCUCAAUGCCGCCGACGYCGACUGAGGACCGCGCCUCGGCUAGGAUGCUGGCUUAAUGGCCUUCAGCGACCCGUCUUGAAACACGGACCAAGGAGUCUAACAUCUAUGCGAGUGUUUGGGCGUCAAACCCUUGCGCGGAAUGAAAGUGAGCGGAGGUGGGAACCCCCCAGCGGGGCGCACCAUCGACCGAUCCUGAUGUCUUCGGAUGGAUUUGAGUA
rnacentral:rRNA from 1 species